rnacentral:rRNA from 1 species
UGUGUGUUAGUGGAAGCGUCUGGAAAGGCGCGCGAUACAGGGUGACAGCCCCGUACACAAAAAUGCACAUGCUGUGAGCUCGAUGAGUAGGGCGGGACACGUGGUAUCCUGUCUGAAUAUGGGGGGACCAUCCUCCAAGGCUAAAUACUCCUGACUGACCGAUAGUGAACCAGUACCGUGAGGGAAAGGCGAAAAGAACCCCGGCGAGGGGAGUGAAAAAGAACCUGAAACCGUGUACGUACAAGCAGUGGGAGCACGCUUCGGCGUGUGACUGCGUACCUUUUGUAUAAUGGGUCAGCGACUUAUAUUCUGUAGCAAGGUUAACCGAAUAGGGGAGCCGAAGGGAAACCGAGUCUUAACUGGGCGUUAAGUUGCAGGGUAUAGACCCGAAACCCGGUGAUCUAGCCAUGGGCAGGUUGAAGGUUGGGUAACACUAACUGGAGGACCGAACCGACUAAUGUUGAAAAAUUAGCGGAUGACUUGUGGCUGGGGGUGAAAGGCCAAUCAAACCGGGAGAUAGCUGGUUCUCCCCGAAAGCUAUUUAGGUAGCGCCUCGUGAAUUCAUCUCCGGGGGUAGAGCACUGUUUCGGCAAGGGGGUCAUCCCGACUUACCAACCCGAUGCAAACUGCGAAUACCGGAGAAUGUUAUCACGGGAGACACACGGCGGGUGCUAACGUCCGUCGUGAAGAGGGAAACAACCCAGACCGCCAGCUAAGGUCCCAAAGUCAUGGUUAAGUGGGAAACGAUGUGGGAAGGCCCAGACAGCCAGGAUGUUGGCUUAGAAGCAGCCAUCAUUUAAAGAAAGCGUAAUAGCUCACUGGUCGAGUCGGCCUGCGCGGAAGAUGUAACGGGGCUAAACCAUGCACCGAAGCUGCGGCAGCGACACUAUGUGUUGUUGGGUAGGGGAGCGUUCUGUAAGCCUGCGAAGGUGGCCUGUGAGGGUUGCUGGAGGUAUCAGAAGUGCGAAUGCUGACAUAAGUAACGAUAAAGCGGGUGAAAAGCCCGCUCGCCGGAAGACCAAGGGUUCCUGUCCAACGUUAAUCGGGGCAGGGUGAGUCGACCCCUAAGGCGAGGCCGAAAGGCGUAGUCGAUGGGAAACAGGUUAAUAUUCCUGUACUUGGUGUUACUGCGAAGGGGGGACGGAGAAGGCUAUGUUGGCCGGGCGACGGUUGUCCCGGUUUAAGCGUGUAGGCUGGUUUUCCAGGCAAAUCCGGAAAAUCAAGGCUGAGGCGUGAUGACGAGGCACUACGGUGCUGAAGCAACAAAUGCCCUGCUUCCAGGAAAAGCCUCUAAGCAUCAGGUAACAUCAAAUCGUACCCCAAACCGACACAGGUGGUCAGGUAGAGAAUACCAAGGCGCUUGAGAGAACUCGGGUGAAGGAACUAGGCAAAAUGGUGCCGUAACUUCGGGAGAAGGCACGCUGAUAUGUAGGUGAAGCGACUUGCUCGUGGAGCUGAAAUCAGUCGAAGAUACCAGCUGGCUGCAACUGUUUAUUAAAAACACAGCACUGUGCAAACACGAAAGUGGACGUAUACGGUGUGACGCCUGCCCGGUGCCGGAAGGUUAAUUGAUGGGGUUAGCGGUAACGCGAAGCUCUUGAUCGAAGCCCCGGUAAACGGCGGCCGUAACUAUAACGGUCCUAAGGUAGCGAAAUUCCUUGUCGGGUAAGUUCCGACCUGCACGAAUGGCGUAAUGAUGGCCAGGCUGUCUCCACCCGAGACUCAGUGAAAUUGAACUCGCUGUGAAGAUGCAGUGUACCCGCGGCAAGACGGAAAGACCCCGUGAACCUUUACUAUAGCUUGACACUGAACAUUGAGCCUUGAUGUGUAGGAUAGGUGGGAGGCUUUGAAGUGUGGACGCCAGUCUGCAUGGAGCCGACCUUGAAAUACCACCCUUUAAUGUUUGAUGUUCUAACGUUGGCCCCUGAUCGGGGUUGCGGACAGUGUCUGGUGGGUAGUUUGACUGGGGCGGUCUCCUCCUAAAGAGUAACGGAGGAGCACGAAGGUUGGCUAAUCCUGGUCGGACAUCAGGAGGUUAGUGCAAUGGCAUAAGCCAGCUUGACUGCGAGCGUGACGGCGCGAGCAGGUGCGAAAGCAGGUCAUAGUGAUCCGGUGGUUCUGAAUGGAAGGGCCAUCGCUCAACGGAUAAAAGGUACUCCGGGGAUAACAGGCUGAUACCGCCCAAGAGUUCAUAUCGACGGCGGUGUUUGGCACCUCGAUGUCGGCUCAUCACAUCCUGGGGCUGAAGUAGGUCCCAAGGGUAUGGCUGUUCGCCAUUUAAAGUGGUACGCGAGCUGGGUUUAGAACGUCGUGAGACAGUUCGGUCCCUAUCUGCCGUGGGCGCUGGAGAACUGAGGGGGGCUGCUCCUAGUACGAGAGGACCGGAGUGGACGCAUCACUGGUGUUCGGGUUGUCAUGCCAAUGGCACUGCCCGGUAGCUAAAUGCGGAAGAGAUAAGUGCUGAAAGCAUCUAAGCACGAAACUUGCCCCGAGAUGAGUUCUCCCUGACUCCUUGAGAGUCCUGAAGGAACGUUGAAGACGACGACGUUGAUAGGCCGGGUGUGUAAGCGCAGCGAUGCGUUGAGCUAACCGGUACUAAUGAACCGUGAGGCUUAACCUUA